rnacentral:rRNA from 1 species
ACCGGAGUACUAUGAAUAUUUAAACAUUUAAAACUUAAAGAACUUGGCGGUNGUUUUAGACCACUUAGGGGAACCUGUCUCGUAAUCGACAAUCCGCGUUAAACCUGACCUUUUCUUGUUAUCAGUUUGUAUACCGUUGUCGUCAGGUAACUUUUUAGAAAUUAGAAGUUAGCGAUAAAAGCAAUUUAAUGACUUAGGACGUCAAAUCAAGGUGCAGCUAACGAAAAGGGGAGGAUGGGUUACAAUUAUUUGAUUUAUAAUAACGGACGAACAACAUGAAUAUGUUUCAAAUUAUAAGGUGGACUUGAAAGUAAAUUAGAUUAUAUAGAUAGUUUGAAUAAGGCUCUGAAACGUGU